rnacentral:rRNA from 1 species
CCCGACUGCUAUUUGGGUGAGGAUAAGCCAUGCGAGUUGAAUGGGAAACCUAAAGUUCCCAUGGCAAACUGCUCAGUAACACAUGAUCAACUUACCCUAUAGAGAAAAAUAACCUCGGGAAACUGAGGAUAAUGUUUCAUAGUUGAAUUGGCUUGGAAAAGUUUUUCGACGAAAGGGGUAAAAAAAAUGGUUUUUAUCUGCUAUAGGAUAGGAUCGUGUUCGAUUAUGGUUGUUGGUGAGGUAAUGGCUCACCAAGCCGAUAAUCGAUAGGGGCCGUGAGAGCGGGAGCCCCGAGAUGGGUACUGAGACAACGACCCAGGCCUUACGAGGCGCAGCCAGGCGCGAAACCUCCGCAAUACACGAAAGUGUGACGGGGUUACCAAAGUGUUCAAUUUUGAACUGUGGUAGGUGAGUAAUGUUCCCUACUAGAAAGGAGAGGGCAAGGCUGGUGCCAGCCGCCGCGGUAAAACCAGCUCUUCAAGUGGUCGGGAUMAUUAUUGGGCUUAAAGUGUCCGUAGCCGGUUUAGUAAGUUCCUGGUAAAAUCGGGUAGSUUAACUAUCUAUAUGCUAGGAAUACUACUAUACUAGAGGGCGGGGAGAGGUCUGAGGUACUGCAGGGGUAGGGGUGAAAUCUUAUAAUCCUUGUUGGACCACCAGUGGCGAAGGCGUCAGACUGGAACGCGCCUGACGGUGAGGGACGAAAGCCAGGGGAGCGAACCGGAUUAGAUACCCGGGUAGUCCUGGCCGUAAACGAUGCAUACUAGGUGAUGGCACGGCCAUGAGCCGUGUCAGUGCCGUAGGGAAACCGUUAAGUGUGCCGCCUGGGAAGUACGGUCGCAAGGCUAAAACUUAAAGGAAUUGGCGGGGGAGCACCACAAGGGGUGAAGCCUGCGGUUC